UUCAUGGUGCUGCUCAUGGAAGCUCGAGGAAAUGUGGAACAGCAGGACCCAAGGGAUGGGUGUGUUUGGCACCACAUUGAGGAUACAUUCAGUGUCUUAUUGGGAGUCCUGAAAAUUUUCUUAAGUUGUCAUCAGGAAAAUAAUUGUCUGGCUACUAAUAAUUUCCUGCUGUGGGGAAGCUGACUGUGGAAAGAAGGUCUCUAUUGCUUGUGUUGCUGAAUUGCAUGUGGUUUGAAAAGAGGCUUUAGGCCAAAAACAUCUGUGUGAUGGAAAGAGAUCCUUUCUGAGCAAAGCGUGGGAACUUUGGCAAAUCCAGUACAAUUCAAAGGAAUGAAUCUUGUAAUUUUUUGAACUGAAACAGAAAAUACAGCAUCUUUCAGAUGGAAAGAUGUUUUCUCCUAUUAGUUACUAACAGUUCCACCAGCCUGUGGUGCAGAUGCUCACCCAUGUAUUUACACAAGCUCCAUAAAACAGGAUGUUCAGAAAUAAAGAGGGAAAUGUGAAAUAACUAUGAAUAUGC
rnacentral:lncRNA from 1 species